UGGAAUAGGACGUGUGGUUCUAUUUUGUUGGUUUCUAGGACCGCCGUAAUGAUUAAUAGGGACAGUCGGGGGCAUCAGUAUUCAAUUGUCAGAGGUGAAAUUCUUGGAUUUAUUGAAGACUAACUACUGCGAAAGCAUUUGCCAAGGAUGUUUUCAUUAAUCAGGAACGAAAGUUAGGGGAUCGAAGACGAUCAGAUACCGUCGUAGUCUUAACCAUAAACUAUGCCGACUAGGGAUCGGACGAUGUUAUUUUUUGACGCGUUCGGCACCUUACGAGAAAUCAAAGUGCUUGGGCUCCAGGGGGAGUAUGGUCGCAAGGCUGAAACUUAAAGAAAUUGACGGAAGGGCACCACCAGGGGUGGAGCCUGCGGCUUAAUUUGACUCAACACGGGGAAACUCACCAGGUCCAGACACAAUGAGGAUUGACAGAUUGAGAGCUCUUUCUUGAUUUUGUGGGUGGUGGUGCAUGGCCGUUCUUAGUUGGUGGAGUGAUUUGUCUGCUUAAUUGCGAUAACGAACGAGACCUUAACCUGCUAAAUAGCCCGUAUUGCUUUGGCAGUACGCUGGCUUCUUAGAGGGACUAUCGGCUCAAGCCGAUGGAAGUUUGAGGCAAUAACAGGUCUGUGAUGCCCUUAGAUGUUCUGGGCCGC
rnacentral:rRNA from 1 species